rnacentral:rRNA from 1 species
GCUUAGAGUUUGAUCCUGGCUCAGGAUGAACGCUGGCGGUAUGCUUAAGACAUGCAAGUCGUGCGGUAGAAGGCUUCGGCCUUUGAGAGCGGCGGACGGGUGAGUAACACGUGGGAAUCUGCCUAUUAGUGGGGGACAGCCCAGCGAAAGCUGGAUUAAUACCGCAUACGCCCUACGGGGGAAAGCAGCAAUGCGCUAAUAGAUGAGCCCGCGUAAGAUUAGCUAGUUGGUAAGGUAAAGGCUUACCAAGGCGACGAUCUUUAGCUGGUCUGAGAGGAUGGCCAGCCACAUCGGGACUGAGACACGGCCCGGACUCCUACGGGAGGCAGCAGUCGGGAAUAUUGGACAAUGUGCGCAAGCCUGAUCCAGCAAUACCGCGUGUGUGAAGAAGGCCUGCGGGUUGUAAAGCACUUUCAGUUGGGAAGAUAAUGACGUUACCAACAGAAGAAGCACCGGCUAACUCCGUGCCAGCAGCCGCGGUAAUACGGAGGGUGCAAGCGUUAAUCGGAAUUACUGGGCGUAAAGCGUGCGUAGGCGGCCUGUUAAGUCAGAUGUGAAAGCCCCGGGCUUAACCUGGGAACUGCAUCUGAUACUGGGAGGCUAGAAUGUGGGAGAGGAGAGUGGAAUUUCCGGUGUAGCGGUGAAAUGCAUAGAGAUCGGAAGGAACACCAGUGGCGAAGGCGGCUCUCUGGACCAACAUUGACGCUGUGGCACGAAAGCGUGGGUAGCAAACAGGAUUAGAUACCCUGGUAGUCCACGCCGUAAACGAUGUCAACUAGCCGUCAGUCUCGCUUUAGAGAUUGGUGGUGGAGCUAACGUAUUAAGUUGACCGCCUGGGGAGUACGCUCGCAAGAGUAAAACUCAAAGGAGUUGACGGGGGCCCGCACAAGCGGUGGAGCAUGUGGUUUAAUUCGAUGCAACGCGAAGAACCUUACCUGGUCUUGACAUGUAGUGAACUUAGCAGAAAUGUUUUGGUGCCUUCGGGAACACUAACACAGGUGCUGCACGGCUGUCGUCAGCUCGUGUCGUGAGAUGUUGGGUUAAGUCCCGCAACGAGCGCAACCCCUGUCCCUAGUUGCCAGCACAUAAUGGUGGGAACUCUAGGGGGACUGCCGGUGACAAACCGGAGGAAGGUGGGGAUGACGUCAAGUCAUCAUGGCCCUUAUGACCAGGGCUACACACGUGCUACAAUGGGCAGUACAGAGGGAAGCAAAAUCGCGAGAUCAAGCAAAUCCCAGAAAGCUGUCCGUAGUCCGGAUCGGAGUCUGCAACUCGACUCCGUGAAGUCGGAAUCGCUAGUAAUCGCGAAUCAGCAUGUCGCGGUGAAUACGUUCCCGGGCCUUGUACACACCGCCCGUCACACCAUGGGAGUUUGUUGCACCAGAAGCAGGUAGUCUAACCGAAAGGAGGGCGCUUGCCACGGUGUGGCCGAUGACUGGGGUGAAGUCGUAACAAGGUAACCAAGCC